rnacentral:tRNA from 1 species
AGUUAUAUAGUUUAAUUAAAACUUUAAUAUUGUAAAUUAAAAAUAUAUAUAUUUAUUAUAUAAUAACUU